ensembl:lncRNA
AGGUAGCCUAGUGGUUAGAGCAGGUAGCCUAGUGGUUAGAGCAGGUAGCCUAGUGGGUAGAGCAGGUAGCCUAGUGGUUAGAGCAGGUAGCCUAGUGGUUAGAGCAGGUAGCCUAGUGGGUAGAGCAGGUAGCCUAGUGGGUAGAGCAGGUAGCCUAGUGGUUAGAGCAGGUAGCCUAGUGGGUAGAGCAGGUAGCCUAGUGGUUAGAGCAGGUAGCCUAGUGGUUAGAGCAGGUAGCCUAGUGGUUAGAGCAGGUAGCCUAGUGGUUAGAGCAGGUAGCCUAGUGGGUAGAGCAGGUAGCCUAGUGGGUAGAGCAGGUAGCCUAGUGGGUAGAGCAGGUAGCCUAGUGGGUAGAGCAGGUAGCCUAGUGGUUAGAGCAGGUAGCCUAGUGGUUAGAGCAGGUAGCCUAGUGGUUAGAGCC